rnacentral:rRNA from 1 species
GACGUAGGUGGCGAACGUUAUCCGGAAUUAUUGGGCGUAAAGGAUGCGUAGAUGGUGUAGUAAGUUAUCGGUGGCAAAUCGAGGCUCAACCUCGUGGAAGUCGGUAAUACUGCUAUGCUAGAGGAUAGGAGAGGUUAACGGAACUCCCUGUGGAGCGGUGAAAUGCGUAGAUAUAGGGAAGAACACCAAUCAGGCGAAGGCAGUUAACUAUUCUAUUCCUGACAUUGAGGCAUGAAAGCGUGGGGGAGCAAAACGG